GACAGAUGAACAUGAGAUCUACUUUCAUCAGAAGACUGCAGUAGCAGGUGGAAGACUCAAAGAGCCACACAGAAAGUUUUGGCCACCAGAGGGAAAGGGGAAGAGGAAGGAACAGCCAAAAUCAGAAGGAAAACUAGGAUCCCCGAAAAUGACUACAAG